GACAUACUCCCUCCGUCUGAAAAAGCUUGUCCCUCAAAUGGAUGUAUUUAGCACCAAGUUAGUGCUAGAUACAUCCAUUUGAGGAACAAGCUUGGGACAAGCUUUUUCGGACAGAGGGAGUAUUUG
rfam:Triticum urartu cultivar G1812 contig561906, whole genome shotgun sequence.